UUGAGCUGCCUGGCCAGGCACCAGGUGAGCACCCAUCAUGCAGCAACAACCAACGCAGUGGCACACUGUAAAUACUAUACACAUGGAGUCUGCUAUAGGAUGGAUGCCGAAAUACCACAGCAUUAGUAUCUAGCAAAAGCACUAAAAAUUCCAGCCAAGCCACCAAAUGCUUAUGAACCACUAAUGUCUCCACAGGAAGAGAUAACUGCUGCUAAUUACACCAAUAACAUGUCCUACCUCAUCACAGAAUCUUGGUCGCGAAAAAGAGUAUGGAUUCCUAUCCCUAAUAAGAGAAGGCCUCAAUGAUUUCCAGCUGCUUCAGAUCAAGGAUGGCCCAGAAUUCAUCCUGCAGUGAAGCAUGCAUUGUUUUUUUGCAAGAAGCUGAGGCAAGCAAACACAUC